GGGAAUGUAGCUUAGUGGUAGAGUGCUUGCCUGGCACACAUGAAGCCCUGGGUUCAAUUCCUCAGUACCA
rnacentral:tRNA from 1 species